rnacentral:rRNA from 1 species
UGUCCUUGAGGCGUCCGGGAGCUAACGCGUUAAAUCGACCGCCUGGGGAGUACGGCCGCAAGGUUAAAACUCAAAUGAAUUGACGGGGGCCCGCACAAGCGGUGGAGCAUGUGGUUUAAUUCGAUGCAACGCGAAGAACCUUACCUACUCUUGACAUCCAGAGAAUUUAGCAGAGAUGCUUUAGUGCCUUCGGGAACUCUGAGACAGGUGCUGCAUGGCUGUCGUCAGCUCGUGUUGUGAAAUGUUGGGUUAAGUCCCGCAACGAGCGCAACCCUUAUCCUUUGUUGCCAGCACAUUAUGGUGGGAACUCAAAGGAGACUGCCGGUGAUAAACCGGAGGAAGGUGGGGAUGACGUCAAGUCAUCAUGGCCCUUACGAGUAGGGCUACACACGUGCUACAAUGGCGUAUACAAAGAGAAGCGACCUCGCGAGAGCAAGCGGAACUCAUAAAGUACGUCGUAGUCCGGAUUGGAGUCUGCAACUCGACUCCAUGAAGUCGGAAUCGCUAGUAAUCGUAGAUCAGAAUGCUACGGUGAAUACGUUCCCGGGCCUUGUACACACCGCCCGUCACACCAUGGGAGUGGGUUGCAAAAGAAGUAGGUAGCUUAACCUUCGGGAGGGCGCUUACCACUUUGUGAUUCAUGACUGGGGUGAAGUCGUAACAAGGUAACCA